rnacentral:rRNA from 1 species
UACGUAGGGGGCAAGCGUUGUCCGGAUUUAUUGGGCGUAAAGAGCUCGUAGGCGGUUCGAUAAGUCGGACGUGAAAUCUCCACGCUCAACGUGGAGGGGCCGUUCGAUACUGUCGUGACUCGAGUCCGGUAGGGGAGUGUGGAAUUCCCGGUGUAGCGGUGAAAUGCGCAGAGAUCGGGAGGAACACCUAUUGCGAAGGCAGCUCGCUGGGACGCAACUGACGCUGAGACGCGAAAGCGUGGGGAGCAAACAGG